AGAGUUUGAUCCUGGCUCAGGACGAACGCUGGCGGCGUGCCUAAUACAUGCAAGUCGAGCGGACAGGUGGGAGCUUGCUCCCUGAUGUUAGCGGCGGACGGGUGAGUAACACGUGGGUAACCUGCCUGUAAGACUGGGAUAACUCCGGGAAACCGGGGCUAAUACCGGAUGGUUGUUUGAACCGCAUGGUUCAAACAUAAAAGGUGGCUUCGGCUACCACUUACAGAUGGACCCGCGGCGCAUUAGCUAGUUGGUGAGGUAACGGCUCACCAAGGCAACGAUGCGUAGCCGACCUGAGAGGGUGAUCGGCCACACUGGGACUGAGACACGGCCCAGACUCCUACGGGAGGCAGCAGUAGGGAAUCUUCCGCAAUGGACGAAAGUCUGACGGAGCAACGCCGCGUGAGUGAUGAAGGUUUUCGGAUCGUAAAGCUCUGUUGUUAGGGAAGAACAAGUACCGUUCGAACAGGGCGGUACCUUGACGGUACCUAACCAGAAAGCCACGGCUAACUACGUGCCAGCAGCCGCGGUAAUACGUAGGUGGCAAGCGUUUUCCGGAAUUAUUGGGCGUAAAGGGCUCGCAGGCGGUUUCUUAAGUCUGAUGUGAAAGCCCCCGGCUCAACCGGGGAGGGUCAUUGGAAACUGGGGAACUUGAGUGCAGAAGAGGAGAGUGGAAUUCCACGUGUAGCGGUGAAAUGCGUAGAGAUGUGGAGGAACACCAGUGGCGAAGGCGACUCUCUGGUCUGUAACUGACGCUGAGGAGCGAAAGCGUGGGGAGCGAACAGGAUUAGAUACCCUGGUAGUCCACGCCGUAAACGAUGAGUGCUAAGCGUUAGGGGGUUUCCGCCCCUUAGUGCUGCAGCUAACGCAUUAAGCACUCCGCCUGGGGAGUACGGUCGCAAGACUGAAACUCAAAGGAAUUGACGGGGGCCCGCACAAGCGGUGGAGCAUGUGGUUUAAUUCGAAGCGACGCGAAGAACCUUACCAGGUCUUGACAUCCUCUGACAAUCCUAGAGAUAGGACGUCCCCUUCGGGGGCAGAGUGACAGGUGGUGCAUGGUUGUCGUCAGCUCGUGUCGUGAGAUGUUGGGUUAAGUCCCGCAACGAGCGCAACCCUUGAUCUUAGUUGCCAGCAUUCAGUUGGGCACUCUAAGGUGACUGCCGGUGACAAACCGGAGGAAGGUGGGGAUGACGUCAAAUCAUCAUGCCCCUUAUGACCUGGGCUACACACGUGCUACAAUGGACAGAACAAAGGGCAGCGAAACCGCGAGGUUAAGCCAAUCCCACAAAUCUGUUCUCAGUUCGGAUCGCAGUCUGCAACUCGACUGCGUGAAGCUGGAAUCGCUAGUAAUCGCGGAUCAGCAUGCCGCGGUGAAUACGUUCCCGGGCCUUGUACACACCGCCCGUCACACCACGAGAGUUUGUAACACCCGAAGUCGGUGAGGUAACCUUUUAGGAGCCAGCCGCCGAAGGUGGGACAGAUGAUUGGGGUGAAGUCGUAACAAGGUAGCCGUAUCGGAAGGUGCGGCUG
rnacentral:rRNA from 1 species